rnacentral:rRNA from 1 species
CACGUAGGGGACGAGCGUUGUCCGGAUUCAUUGGGCGUAAAGCGCGCGUAGGCGGCUCGGAAAGUCGGGCGUGAAAUGCCGGGGCUCAACCCCGGGACUGCGUCCGAUACUUCCGAGCUGGAGGUAGGUAGGGGCAUGUGGAACUUCCGGUGGAGCGGUGAAAUGCGUAGAUAUCGGAAGGAACGCCGGUGGCGAAAGCGACGUGCUGGACCUCUUCUGACGCUGAGGCGCGAAAGCUAGGGGAGCAAACGGG